rnacentral:rRNA from 1 species
GUUCGAUCUCCCAGCUCAGAUUGAAUCGUUGGCGGGAUGCUUACACAUGCAAGUCGUGAACGGCAGCACGGACUUCGGUCUGGUGGCGAGUGGCGAACGGGUGAGUAAUGUAUCGGAACGUGCCUAGUAGCGGGGGAUAACUACGCGAAAGCGUAGCUAAUACCGCAUACGCCCUUCGGGGGAAAGCGGGGGACCUUCGGGUCGUAAUUAUUAGAGCGGCUGAGAUAUCGGAUUAGCUUAGUUGGUGGGGCAACGGCUCGGGCGACGAUCCGUAGCUGGUUUGAGAGGACGACCAGCCACACUGGGACUGGACACGGCCCAGACUCCUACGGGAGGCAGCAGUGGGAAUUUUGGACAAUGGGGGAAACUCCUGAUCCAGCCAUCCCGCGUGUGCGAUGAAGGCCUUUGGGUUGUAAAGCACUUUUGGCAGGAAAGAAACGGCACGGAUAAUACUCCCGCAACGACGGUACCUGCAGAAUAAGCACCGCUAACUACGUGCCAGCAGCUGCGGUAAUUACGUAGGGUGCAAGCGUUAAUCGGAAUUACUGGGCGUAAAAGCGUGCUCAGGCGGUUCGGAAAGCAGAUGUGAACCAGAGCGAAUCUUGAACUGCAUUUUUAACUACCGAGCUAGAGUAAAAGUCAGAUAGAGAAAAUAACGUGCAGGAAUGCAGAUGCGAGAACACCGAUGGCGUAGCGCAGCCUCCUGGGAUAACACUGAUGCUCAUGUACGAAAGCGUGGGGAGCAAAACAGGAUUAGAUACCCUGGUAGUCCACGCCCUGGGAACGAUGUCAACUAGCUGUUGGGGCCUUCGGGCUCAGCGCAGCUAACGCGUGGAAGUUGACCGCCUGGGGAGUACGGUCGCAAGAUUAAACCCGCAGUAACGAUGGGGACCCGCACAAGCGGUGGAUGGGAUUACCCGAUGCAACGCGAAACCCUACCUACCUUUGACAUGUCUGGAACCUGGUAGAUUGGGAGCUUCGCAGAGAACCGGAACACAGGUGCUGUAUGGCUGUCGUCAGCUCGUAAGCCGAGAUAUGGGUUAACCCGCAACGAGCGCAACCUUUGUUAAGAAGUUGCUACGAAAGGACACUCUGACGAGACUGCCGGUGACAAACCGGAGGAAGGUGGGGAUGACGUCAAGUCCGCGGCUUUAAGGGGUAGGGCUUCACACGUCAUACAUGGUUUGGAUGAGGGUCGCUAACCCGCGAGGGAGCCAAUCCCAGAAACCCGAUCGUGGUGUCCGAUCGCAGUCUGCAACUCGACUGCGUGAAGUCGGAAUCGCUAGUAAUCGCGGAUCAGCAUGUCGCGGUGAAUACGUUCCUGGCCUUACACACUGCCCGUCACACCAUGGGAGUGGGUUUUACCAGAAGCAGUUAGCUCAAUCGUAUGAGGCGAUUACCACGGUAGGAUUCAUGACUGGGGUGUCGUGAACAAAGGCACCUACAUUACCGAUGCUCC